UCUCGCCUGCCCAGUGAAAUUAUUUUAAACGGCCGCGGUAUCCUAACCGUGCAAAGGUAGCGUAAUCACUUGCCUCUUAAUUAGAGGCCUGUAUGAAUGGCUAACCGAGGGUGUAACUGUCUCCUAUAGCCAAUCAAUGAAACUGAUCCCCUAGUACAAAAGCUAGGAUACUAACAUAAGACGAGAAGACCCUGUGGAGCUUUAAGACACCCACUACCCCCGACCUGACCAAAAUAGUGAUAACUUUAAGUUGGGGCGACUACGGAGAACAAAAAACCUCCGCGCAUUAUAAAUAGGGCCUCUAAAGGAAAACACCCCAAAAAGAGCCCACCACCGACCCAGUAAUACUGACCAUCGAACCAAGUUACCCCAGGGAUAACAGCGCCAUCCUCUUCAAGAGUCCAUAUCGACAAGAGGGUUUACGACCUCGAUGUUGGAUCAGGGCCCCCAGGUGGUGCAGCCGCUACUAAAGGUCCGUUUGUUCAACGGAUAACGCCCU
rnacentral:rRNA from 1 species